GUGGAUUAGAUACCCUGGUAGUCCACGCCGUAAACGAUGAUAACUAGCUGUCCGGGCACUUGGUGCUUGGGUGGCGCAGCUAACGCAUUAAGUUAUCCGCCUGGGGAGUACGGUCGCAAGAUUAAAACUCAAAGGAAUUGACGGGGGCCUGCACAAGCGGUGGAGCAUGUGGUUUAAUUCGAAGCAACGCGCAGAACCUUACCAGCGUUUGACAUGGUAGGACGACUGGCAGAGAUGUCUUUCUUCCCUUCGGGGACCUACACACAGGUGCUGCAUGGCUGUCGUCAGCU
rnacentral:rRNA from 1 species